rnacentral:tRNA from 1 species
GCCGGGGUCUCCUAGAGCAGUAGAAUAUGCUCUGCGGGAAAUCAGGUAGGGAGCAGGCCUGGAAAGCCUGUGACCUGUAAAGGUCGCGUGGGUUCAAAUCCCACCCCCGGCGCCA